rnacentral:snRNA from 1 species
AAGCCGAGGGGAUUCCUUCA